AAAACCUUGUGUUGGCUAGAAAUUCAUUUUCUAGAACUGUAUACAACAUAAAUACUUUGUCAAAUCUUGUUUAUGUUGGAAGGGUACAAAUAACUGUGGAUGGUGAUGGCCGUCAUAUUGUAUACCCAAGGAAUGCACCAACGGCAGAAGACAUAGCUAGUGGAAAGGU